AUUGAACGCUGGCGGCAUGCCUUACACAUGCAAGUCGAACGGCAGCGCGGACUUCGGUCUGGCGGCGAGUGGCGAACGGGUGAGUAAUACAUCGGAACGUACCCUGUUGUGGGGGAUAACUAGUCGAAAGAUUAGCUAAUACCGCAUACGACCUGAGGGUGAAAGUGGGGGACCGCAAGGCCUCACGCAGCAGGAGCGGCCGAUGUCUGAUUAGCUAGUUGGUGGGGUAAAGGCCCACCAAGGCGACGAUCAGUAGCUGGUCUGGGAGGACGAUCAGCCACACUGGGACUGAGACACGGCCCAGACUCCUGCGGGAGGCAGCAGUGGGGAAUUUUGGACAAUGGGGGCAACCCUGAUCCAGCAAUGCCGCGUGUGUGAAGAAGGCCUUCGGGUUGUAAAGCACUUUUGUCCGGAAAGAAAUCGCGCUGGUUAAUACCUGGCGUGGAUGACGGUACCGGAAGAAUAAGCACCGGCUAACUACGUGCCAGCCGCCGCAGUAA
rnacentral:rRNA from 1 species